rnacentral:rRNA from 1 species
AUUGAACGCUGGCGGCAGGCCUAACACAUGCAAGUCGAACGAGGGGCGGACGGGUGAGUAAUGUCUGGGAAACUGCCCGAUGGAGGGGGAUAACUACUGGAAACGGUGGCGAAUACCGCAUACCAUCGGAUGUGCACAGAUGGGAUUAGCUUGUGGGUGAGGUAACGGCUCACCUAGGCGACGAUCCCUAGCUGGUCUGAGAGGAUGAUGAGCCACACGGUAAUGGAGACACGGGCCAGACUCCGACGGGAGGCAGCUGUGGGGAAUAGUGCACAAUUGGCGCAAGCCUGAGGCAGCAAUGCCGGGUGGAUGAAGAAGGCCUUCGGGUUUUAAAGUACGUUCAGCGGGGAGGCGUUACCCGCAGAAGAAGCACCGGCUAACUCCGUGCCAGCCGCCGCGGUAAUUC